rfam:Flavobacterium psychrophilum JIP02/86 complete genome
UUUUAGCCCAGAUAGUAACGGAAAGCCUUUUGAGAAGAAAGGCUUAUUUUUCUUGAUAAAAAACAACGACCAACGGAAGUUCGUUUUUUGUUUAGAAAAAUUGCUUUUCUGAUUAAAAGCUUGUAGUGUAUAGCUGGAAAUGGC